CUGGCAGUAGGCAUUUUUGAUGGGAGCCAAAUGCAGUAAUGCUACUGCCUGGAAGUCCUGCUCUGACUCAUCCCAGGACACAUUUCUGCAAGGCACAGCAAAAAGGAGAAGUGACUGCUGAUGCCUGAACGUGCUGUAACCGGACUCCCCACAAACCAAUUUUGAGCGGGGACAUGGAAAAGGAGGCAUGGGCUAGGAUUUGGAAAGCAUUUGACAACAUGGAAAAACAGAACACAGGGGAAAUAAAGGCAUAGGGAAUGCAAAUGACCAGUUAAUCAGCUGAGGAACUAGUAAAUUAACCCAGUAUCCUGGAUUACAAACAAGACGUCAAGCAGUGGAUCACACUCUCAAAGAUCAGGGAGGCUUCAAUUUCUGUAGCACACCGAGUGUGAAACACUUAAAAACUCUGACAAGGAUUAUUUAUUGGAGGAAUACCUGGUAGCCUUAAUGUCCAACUGAUAGUACUUGAAACCAAGUGAGAGAGAGAGCUCAAGAUGUAUGAAAAUCAAGACUUGAGGGUCUAAGAGGUGAAAAAUUGCUUUCCCUACACAUUGAAAAGCUGUGAAAAAAGAACUUAAGAAGUUCUUAAGAAGAAGUGCCAGAGUUAUUAAUACUAAUGUUGGAUAGGCCGAAAGCAGAAAUGCAAUCUCCAUAAAUGCUAAGUUAGAAAGAGGUGAGGAUGAAUAUCAGACCUCUGGAAGACAUCUGGAAGCAAGCUGUGAGUUGUAGUCAAAGCUAAAUAAAGUAACUGAGAAAAAAGUGGUGGAAUGGUUUAUUUCUGAAUGUUUGGUUUCUGGGAUAGAUUGUCACAUGAACAGACAUUUUAAGGAUGUCCUCUGUGCUCAGGACAGGUUAUUUUUCACAUUUACGUGGGCAUGAUAAGGAGUCCCAGAAGGCCAAUUUUAAAUGAGAGCUGCUCUGAAAGUAAUGCUUCCUAUUUUAU
ensembl:lncRNA